rnacentral:tmRNA from 1 species
GGGGGCGACCUGGCUUCGACGUAGGUUACGAAACCCUAGGUGCAUGCCGAGAAUGAGAACUCUCGAAAAACAGGCUCAAUUAAAUAUAAAUGCAAAUGAUGAAAACUUUGCAGGUGAAGCAAUCGCAGCGUAAGCUGAAAUUGUUAAACCGCACCGUGAGCUGCCUAUAAACCAGCUCCCCGUUGACCGAGCUUGCUUACCGGUAUCGACUCAACGGUCAUAGAAGAUAAGCUAGCAGUUGAACAUGUCCCGAGUUUAAUUGCGAAAUUUAGGGAAUCGCUGUAAAGUAUCCUGUGUGUCGGAGCCUUUGCAGUUAACUUAAAAGACAUAACUAAGCAUGUAGAGCCAAAGGCGUAGGAUUUGCGGACGCGGGUUCAAUUCCCGCCGCCUCCACCA